rnacentral:rRNA from 1 species
GCGGCGGACGGGUGAGUAACACGUGGGCCACCUGCCCGCGAGACCGGGAUAACUCCGGGAAACCGGAGCUAAUACCGGAUAACACCGAAGACCGCAUGGUCUUUGGUUGAAAGGCGGCCUUUGGCUGUCACUUGCGGAUGGGCCCGCGGCGCAUUAGCUAGUUGGUGAGGUAACGGCUCACCAAGGCGACGAUGCGUAGCCGGCCUGAGAGGGUGACCGGCCAAACUGGGACUGAGACACGGCCCAGACUCCUACGGGAGGCAGCAGUAGGGAAUCUUCCGCAAUGGGCGAAAGCCUGACGGAGCGACGCCGCGUGAGCGAAGAAGGCCUUCGGGUCGUAAAGCUCUGUUGUGAGGGACGAAGGAGCGCCGUUCGAAGAGGGCGGCGCGGUGACGGUACCUCACGAGGAAGCCCCGGCUAACUACGUGCCAGCAGCCGCGGUAAUAC